rnacentral:piRNA from 1 species
UUGUACUAUGGCAUUUUGGCA